rnacentral:rRNA from 1 species
UACGAAGGGGGCUAGCGUUGCUCGGAAUCACUGGGCGUAAAGGGUGCGUAGGCGGCGCGGUAAGUCGGGUGUGAAAUCUUGGAGCUUAACUCCGAAACUGCAUUCGAUACUGCCGUGCUUGAGGACUGGAGAGGAGACUGGAAUUUACGGUGUAGCGGUGAAAUGCGUAGAUAUCGUAAGGAAGACCAGUGGCGAAGGCGGGUCUCUGGACAGUUCCUGACGCUGAGGCACGAAGGCCGGGGGAGCAAACGGG